rnacentral:rRNA from 1 species
UUUUAUUGGAGAGUUUGAUCCUGGCUCAGGACGAACGCUGGCGGCGUGCCUAAUACAUGCAAGUCGAGCGCGGGAAGCAGGCAGAUCCCUCCGGGGUGAAACCUGUGGAACGAGCGGCGGACGGGUGAGUAACACGUGGGCAACCUGCCUGAAAGUCCGGGAUAACCCCGGGAAACCGGAGCUAAU